ensembl:lncRNA
UCAUGAUUAGCUUCUUACUUCUGGCAAUUGUAUUUAUGCUUCAAAAUUUAUUAACGUUGUGUUAAUUUGUGAAGACUGUCAUGAUGAACAAAAUGUGUAAGAAUCAUAAAUUUUUGUUGGCCACAGAUUUUAUUUUCUGUAAUAUUUCAAAAGCCAAUGGAAAAAUGCAAUGUUUUUUUUGUUUUUUUUUUUGUUUUUUGUCGAGGGAAUCAGGGUGAUGCUAACUUCUGGGCUGGCCAACACAAAUACAUCACCGCUGCAGCAAUGUAUCACAAAUAAAACCAAGAGAUGUUCUGUUAAAGAGGCUCCCACUCAUGGUCAGGAUGAUGUACGCAAGAAUAUAUUUUAAAUAACAAGUAAACCGAGAGCAGUGAACAAAGAAAACUUUCCCAAAAUCCAGUCCCUGUGAUUUAUGUUAAAACCAUACAUCUCUAAGACAGUUUAUUUCAGGGGCUUUCAAUCCUUCCAAACAUCUCCGAGCCAAGAGUCUUACUGUCGAACACAAGCAGCUGUUUAGAGAAAAGCAGGAUAGCCAGAGGCACAACAAGAGAAUGCAAAUCUCACAAAAACACUGGCACAGCACCUAGACAAACAUCUGUGAUGGGGUGCUGUCACACUGCGUCUGUGCAGUGGAGGAGGAAUCCCAACUCCUUUAAAAUUGUCUCUGUUUUAGGCUCAUCUUGCUCCGGCUAAUCCAUCCUGACAGUGUAGAUUGCUCAUAACAGCUAUGCUAGAGUAUCUGCAAAACAAACAUGCCCUUCUUCAGUCAUUGGAUUGCUAGUCAAACAUCUUGAAAAUGGUGUGAUUCUUGAUUAAGACUCUGGGACAGGAUAAUUAGCCCUGCAGAGAAAAUACCUAGUAACCUUUUGAUGUUUGCAAAUAGCUUGUUUUAUACUCCAGGUUCUCGGUUUUGUAAAGAAACCCUUAUGAUAAUUAUUGUUGGUGAAAUUAUUGAGUCUGAAAUAGAUGGUGAUGCACAAAGCUAUUGUACUUUUUUUCCCCCAGCUGUCUGAACAAUUGCUUAGAUCAGCUGUUUAGACAAAGGUUGGGCACGGAAUCCGCCAAUUAUUGUCUGUUCUCCAACUAAAAAAAACCCCAAAAACAUUAAAUAAUAUUAACUUUCCCCUUUGCCAAAGCUAAAGUUAAGAAGCCAAUUGUUUGUCAAAUAAAAAACUGUCAUUUUAAAUGAUAAUAUUUCA